rnacentral:rRNA from 1 species
GACGAACGCUGGCGGCGUGCCUAAUACAUGCAAGUCGAGCGAACAGAGAAGGAGCUUGCUCCUUCGACGUUAGCGGCGGACGGGUGAGUAACACGUGGGCAACCUACCUUAUAGUUUGGGAUAACUCCGGGAAACCGGGGCUAAUACCGAAUAAUCUGUUUCACCUCAUGGUGAAACACUGAAAGACGGUUUCGGCUGUCGCUAUAGGAUGGGCCCGCGGCGCAUUAGCUAGUUGGUGAGGUAACGGCUCACCAAGGCGACGAUGCGUAGCCGACCUGAGAGGGUGAUCGGCCACACUGGGACUGAGACACGGCCCAGACUCCUACGGGAGGCAGCAGUAGGGAAUCUUCCACAAUGGGCGAAAGCCUGAUGGAGCAACGCCGCGUGAGUGAAGAAGGAUUUCGGUUCGUAAAACUCUGUUGUAAGGGAAGAACAAGUACAGUAGUAACUGGCUGUACCUUGACGGUACCUCAUUAGAAAGCCACGGCUAACUACGUGCCAGCCGCCGCAGUAAAAC